rnacentral:lncRNA from 1 species
CAGUUCUGGAGGCCAGAAUCUGAAAUCAAAGUGUCAACAGGGCUAUGCUCCCAGAAGCUUUAGGAGAGAAUCUGUUCCUUGGCUUUUCCAGUUUCUGGUGUGUGCUGGCAUUCCUGGGCUUGAAGGCACAAUCAGUUCAUCUUCAAUUGCCUUCUCUGGGGUCACACCCAUGGCCUUUAGAAGUUCCCCUGAGGCUAGGGGUCUAAUCAGAGAUACAGCUGUCGGCCUACACCACAGCCACAGCAACACAGGAUCUGAGCCUCGUCUGUGACCUACUGCACAGCUCACGGCAACGCCAGAUCCUUAACCCACUGAGCGAGACCAGGGAUCGAACCGGCAACUUCAUGGUUCCUAGUGGGAUUUGUUUCCACUGCUCCACAACUGGAACUCCAGAAAACAAAUUUUAAGGAGACGUGCGUUGUGCACCCAUGAAACUGACCUUGUUUGGGAGUCAUGGACAUAUGCAUGAUAUUUAAAGCCAUGAGAUUGGAUGAGAUCAUCAAAGGAAUAAGAUCAUCAAAGGAUGGAGAAGAGGACCAGAUAGAAUACAUUUAUAUUUCAAAAAGCAAAGGAAAUUCUGCAAAGGACUCUUCUGCCACAUCCAGACCCGGCUUAUCCAGUCUAUCAUCUUCAGUGACGUCUCUGCCAGUUAUCCUGAAUCGUCAGAUAAAUUCUUCUCUGUGGACAUUUGAAGCACGAGGAGGAAUGCAUGAUUAACUUUUAGAGAUGAGCAGUCUAGAAUACACGAACUGUAGAUUAUUAUGUCUAAAAUAUCUUUUUCUGAAGAGCAGAGGCUGUGGUCAUCGGGAUGAACAAAACUGAGUAAGCAGAUGGGAGCUGCUUCAGGGAGUGUUGGGAGCUCAAGCUGUGUGAGAGGGGCUCAAAGCCCAGGGUGCUAGAUGGUGCCAGCUACUUCUGCACGGUUGCCAAUGGAAACCAGAUAACUGGACUCUGACUGAAGCAGACAUGCCACCUUACGUCUUCCAUGAGAAGGACCGUAGGUUUCUGGCACAGUCCAAGUGUCCAGAGGAUUGUCAACACUCGUAUCAAUGGGCCCGUAGCUCCUGGAUUCCAGGGAAGGCAUCACUCCUCGUGGCUCUUACCCUCCUCCUGGGGUCAGCAGAAAGGCUGGAGCAGCUCUUCUCACAGAAGGGUCAAGAGGUCAAGUGGAGGCGUGAGAAGCAUCUUCGGGCCUAUGCUUGACACUGGCACAUUGUCCCUUGUUGGCCUAAGAGAGUGACAAAGACAAGAAAUGGGGACGUGCACUCUAUACAUGGACAUGGUGAUAGGAGAGGGGAUUCAUAGCUCUGAUCUAAUCUCUCUCUCUCUACAUCUGCGUACAUGGAGCUUUUCAAAUUGUGUAGAUUUCAAAGCAAUAAGUGGAGGUAAACCAAAGCAGACACAGGCCCUCCAACAAGCUUGUCAAGUUUGUCUCAAUGUGGAGAAGCAAAACCAAACUGACAGAUUCUUAACAAUCUGGACCAAUUUUCAAGAUCUCUCUCUUACAGCCAAAGGAAGUUGAAAUUUACACCAAUCCAAGGUUGUUUUGGAGACUAUUUUUGUGGACCAAAUUUACUCAGAAGUUUUAUGAAAACAGCUACACAUUCACUUCCAACUUGAACUAGUGAAGUGCUUUAAAAUCCUUUAAAUCUGAUAAACAAUGAGAUCCUGCUGUCUAGCCUUGGGAACUAUAUCUAGUCACUAUGACGGAACAUGACGGAGGAUCAUGUCAGAAGAUGAAGGGGACCAAUGAGAGUAUUGGGGACUAAAUGAUACUGCCUCCUCUGUACACCGUGUUCCGAGGAUCUCAUGUGGUACCAUGAACUCUGUGGGUGCUUGACAGAUACCUGGGUUACUUCUUGACUCUCAGCUAUUGAGAGCUAAGCAGAGCUAAACCAAGACAGAGUCAAAUAUCAGGCAUUUAAGAAGGCGAAUUAGAGCAUGGCUACAAGUGUUUAUGUGAGUGUUUGUGCAUAUAGAGCUCUCUGUUCCAAAACAGAUGAACAAGAAUUUGGUUUCAUUUCACAUUAGCUAUUUCUUUUCUCUUUCUUAGGGGUAUGAUUGAAACUUCCCAUCUUUUCACAGGUCUGCAGAGUCACCUCAGAAAUGUUACUUUGUUAUAUUAUAACAAAUCUUUAACAAAGUUAAAUAUUGCUAUGACC